rnacentral:lncRNA from 1 species
GGAUGGUGUAUAGCGUAUACUAGAAAAGCAGAAAAUUUGAGUUCUAGUUCCAAAGUUGGGUGCUUCCCUGAAUUGAUACAGUUGUCAACCUAACAUGCAUCGGCACUUAAGGAAUGAUAGCGUGGAAGCUCCGAGCCACAAGAAAACUUUCCAUGAUGGUCUUGCAUACAAAAUUUUAUUUUGAUGUACUUAUUUAGACCGUUUAUGCCCCC